CCUACGGGGGGCAGCAGUGGGGAAUAUUGGACAAUGGGGGCAACCCUGAUCCAGCCAUGCCGCGUGUGUGAAGAAGGCCCUCGGGUUGUAAAGCACUUUCAGUGAGGAAGAACGCCUGGUGGUUAAUACCCAUCAGGAAAGACAUCACUCACAGAAGAAGCACCGGCUAACUCCGUGCCAGCAGCCGCGGUAAUACGGAGGGUGCGAGCGUUACUCGGAAUUACUGGGCGUAAAGCGCGUGUAGGUGGCUUGAUAAGCCGGUUGUGAAAGCCCCGGGCUCAACCUGGGAACGGCAUCCGGAACUGUCAAGCUAGAGUGCAGGAGAGGAAGGUAGAAUUCCCGGUGUAGCGGUGAAAUGCGUAGAGAUCGGGAGGAAUACCAGUGGCGAAGGCGGCCUUCUGGACUGACACUGACACUGAGGUGCGAAAGCGUGGGUAGCAAACAGGAUUAGAUACCCCUGUAGUC
rnacentral:rRNA from 1 species